rnacentral:rRNA from 1 species
UGCCAGACUCCUACGGGAGGCAGCAGUGAGGAAUAUUGGUCAAUGGCCGGAAGGCUGAACCAGCCAAGUCGCGUGAGGGACGACUGCCCUAUGGGUUGUAAACCUCUUUUAUAAGGGAAGAAUAAAUGCUACGUGUAGCAUGAUGCCUGUACCUUAUGAAUAAGCAUCGGCUAACUCCGUGCCAGCAGCCGCGGUAAUACGGAGGAUGCGAGCGUUAUCCGGAUUUAUUGGGUUUAAAGGGUGCGCAGGCGGCGUGUCAAGUCAGCGGUAAAAUGUCGGGGCUCAACCCCGGCCGGCCGUUGAAACUGGCGUGCUCGAGUUGGAGAGAAGUAUGCGGAAUGCGUGGUGUAGCGGUGAAAUGCAUAGAUAUCACGCAGAACCCCGAUUGCGAAGGCAGCCUUCCGGCGCCCUACUGACGCUGAGGCACGAAAGUGCGGGGAUCGAACAGGAUUAGAUACCCCCGUAGAA